rfam:Cricetulus griseus cell line CHO-K1, whole genome shotgun sequence.
GGAUGGGAAAGCAAUCUGUCUGUGAUAUCUGUCACCCCGCUGAUCACCAGUAUUAACCAAGCUGAUCUGGCCCAGCUAGGUGGUGCCCCCUUUCUCCUUCACCACCCACAUGGAUCCCUCCAGAAACUGUAUAAAUCAACUGGUCAUGAGGAGAACCUUCCCAGAAGUCCUCUAUGAAGCUGUUCUUUGGUCAAGGAUAUAAAAGUAGCUGCACUCUCCUUUGAGAACCUCCAAAGAGGCAAAGCCUCCCCUUCUCCAAGAGUAAAUGACAGGAUGCUUCCUAGAAAGUGGCAUUUGUUUGUUUGUUUAUUG